UACGUAGGGACCGGGCGUUGUCCGGAUUCAUUGGGCGUAAAGAGCUCGUAGGCGGCCACUCAAGUCGAAUGUGAAACCUCGAGGCUCAACCUCGAGCCUGCAUUCGAUACUGGGCGGCUAGAGUCUGGUAGGGGGAUCUGGAAUUCCUGGUGUAGCGGUGGAAUGCGCAGAUAUCAGGAGGAACACCGGUGGCGAAGGCGGGAUCCUGGGCCAGUACUGACGCUGAGGAGCGAAAGCGUGGGGAGCAAACAGG
rnacentral:rRNA from 1 species